UACGUAGGGGGCAAGCGUUGUCCGGAUUUAUUGGGCGUAAAGAGCGUGUAGGCGGCUUGGCAAGUCCGCUGUGAAAACUCGAGGCUUAACCUCGAGACGUCGGUGGAAACUGCCUGGCUAGAGUCCGGAAGAGGAGAGUGGAAUUCCUGGUGUAGCGGUGAAAUGCGCAGAUAUCAGGAGGAACACCAGUGGCGAAGGCGACUUCCUGGCCUGUUCUUGACGCUGAGGCGCGAAAGCUAGGGGAGCAAACAGG
rnacentral:rRNA from 1 species